UUGAUAAAAAUAAAUAAAUAAAUAAAUAAAACGACAGAAAGUAAGGCUUACACAUACACACAAAGUAUACAUGGUUGAUUGUUAAGAAAUGUUCUCAUGCAUCCAUUUGACAGACCUGGAGCAGUUCCUGUCUGCUGCUAAGGUUUCCACUAGAGAUGCAAGAAAAAAGUCCUCGCGCUUUCUGUCUGUCUCAAUGUGGCAGUCAAGAUUGAAUGGGGGAGUACAGGCUAAAAGGGGGGAAAUUUCUGCAACUCACAUAAACCUUGUCAACAAUGAAGAUCUUGGUUUACUCCAAAGUGUCUAAAAUUGGAGUUUAGGGAAAGUGUUCGAAAAGAAUUUCCCAGACCCUUGCCUUUUGAUUAAUUUCACUUUUAAAAACUUAAGGGUUAAAAGUAAAUUAAAUGCAAGCCAGUAAAGGGGGAAGAAAAAGCUUUCACUUCAUGCACACGUGCGUGCGCACGCGCGCGCGUGCACACACACAUCCAUCCAGUAAUGGAAAUUUAGCUGUAAGAUCUAUUUACGAGUCAAGGCAAAAACAUGUCUGAGUAAAGAAACUAAAAUUGUGCUCUUCCAUUUUCCAGAGCUGUGCUUAGUUGUAUUUUACUUCUGGCGAGAGAUGUAAUUAAUAACAUGAACAGCCCACAGCUUAGUGUCUGACUUCCAGUAGGCUUUUGAUAAAUUUGUUGAAUAACUGAAUGAAUGCACACGUGAUCCGUAACUAUUAGAAAAUGGUGGGUUCUUAAAGCUUCAUAGGUGGAUGUUAAAUCAAAUGGCCAAAUCAUGGAACGAAAUAAAUAGGUACACUUUACUAGGUUAAUUUAAAAGUGAUGACAAGUGGGACCCGUGUGUGGCUCAGUUGCUUAAGCGUCUGCCUUUGGCUCAGGUCAUGACCCCGGAAUCGGGGGAUAGAACCCUGUCUCAGGAGAAGCCUGCUUCUCCCUGCC